CAAUAUUUAAAUUGGUCUGUUUUCAACAGAUGCACAAUUAAGAAUUUACUCAGAAUUGAUACAUAAUGCAAUAAAUUAUCAAGUACAGGAACCAUUCGUGCACUAACAACCGCUACCAUUGCUCUUCACGGGUAAAGCUGAAGCAUGUCCGAAUGGCACUUGGUUGAAAGGAAAGUAAUACUGGGACUUGACCGUUUUUUAUAUUCGUUACCUACAACAUUCAAAGUAACCGACCAUCUACUACUUCACAUUGCAAGAGGCUUGUUUUCCAAAGAUGAGUUCCAAUGACCAGAAAUACAAAUGAGAUCGGUUUGAAUCCAUGAUGAAGAUUGUUAAACGGUGUAUUUCUGAAGAAAGCGGUCAAAUGCAUCAUAAAUCGCUUGCCUAAAGAGUCCUUGUUUGAAGAGGUAGGCACUGACAUGACCUCCAUUCAGAUACCUGAUUUCACAUCCGG
rnacentral:lncRNA from 1 species